AUCAUCAUAUUCAAUUGAAAUAGUAAAAAAGAUUUACAGCAGUAAAAAGAUAUCUACAAAAAUAUAUAAAUGAAGAGUUCCAGGUCUGCACAGCCCAUGAUAUUUACAAGAGCAAAUGUAUAAAUUUUUCUGUUGCAACAAACAAAUAAACAAAAAGGUUAAGAUGAGAAAAAGAAACAGUUAAAUAAAUAGAAUGGUAACUAGAAAUUUCAAACUCUUUUCUGUUCAUGUUUAAAGAGACAUGAAUCAAGUAUUGCAUAUAAUUCCAUAAUAUCCAAAUAAUUCCUCAAAUUCUUCAUUAGGAAGUUAUAUUUCAGACUGAAAACCACUAGACUACCAGGGUAUGGCCAUUAACAAAUUAAACAAAAGGCUAGCAAAAGCCAAAUACAAUAAUUACUGACAUAGGCA
rnacentral:misc_RNA from 1 species